rnacentral:rRNA from 1 species
UGGGGAAUAUUGGACAAUGGAGGAAACUCUGAUCCAGCAAUUCUGUGUGUGUGAAGAAGGUUUUAGGACUGUAAAACACUUUUAGUAGGGAAGAAAAAAAUGACGGUACCUACAGAAGAAGCAACGGCUAAAUACGUGCCAGCAGCCGCGGUAAUACGUAUGUUGCGAGCGUUAUCCGGAAUUAUUGGGCUUAAAGGGCAUCUAGGCGGUAAGACAAGUUGAAGGUGAAAACCUGUGGCUCAACCAUAGGCUUGCCUACAAAACUGUUGAACUAGAGUACUGGAAAGGUGGGUGGAAGUACACGAGUAGAGGUGAAAGUAGUAGAUAUGUGUAGGAAUGCCGAUGAUGAAGAUAACUCACUGGACAGAAACUGACGCUGAAGUGCGAAAGCAAGGGGAGCAAACAGG